UACUCACUCUCAAACUAUAAAACUCUAACCCACAGAUGUAUAAUUUGUGUGUCAAAAGUGGAAACAGUGAGCAGUUUAAUAUUUUUCUUGUUUGUUUUUUAAGAACAUUUCUAAGAACAUGAAUGUGCUUUGCUGAAGCAAGCACACUAAUUAUGGCUUUUGCAAUUAUCCACUGAUUUUUCAGGUGGGGAGUGUAGUAGUACUUUCCUCACCUUCUAAGCUAAAUUAAGUCACCAUCUGUGAAAAGUUUUUAUUCUUUGUAGCAUUGAUCCCUUGCUUAAUGGCUUCUAAAUGCUGAAACAAUUGUUUUAGUUCAAAUGCAUCGGUUUGACUGAGCAGAGCCUGGAUUGACAACCUAACAGCCGUUCUGACAGCACCCAAUUACAGUAUAUUGGAUCAAUCUCUAACUCCGUAAUGAUUUUAUAUAGCAACUUUCGCUGUGUUGUCUUCAUCUUCAGAGCUUGCCAACUCUGGUCUUCACUCAUCAGUCCAUCUGAAGAGAUGCUCCCACAAGUGUCAAGAACAUUUGGAAGAAACUAAUCAUCACCUUUGCACGAGUUUCUCUCACCUGCUUCUGCUGCCUCAUGCCUCCUGGUGGAAUGUGCUAUGCUAAGAACUAUACUGGGCUUCAUAUAUUACAGCUCGCCUUUCCUGAAGUACAUUAAAGAGAGGACAUGAAGGACAGAAGACAACAGAAAUGGGUUCAUCUGAAACUUCCUAGAAAUGAAUCAUCUGUCUAUUCUUUCUUUGAAGAACAACAUCUUUCCCUGCUUGAGUCAACUGCGUUGAAUGGUCCGACAAUAGCACAAGGCCCAGUGGCUGUGUUUGGACAGCAGCACAGUCAGACCCCCUUGGAAACACAAAGGACUUCACCCCCUCCCCAGAGGGCCAUUACUUUUGAUUGUGGCCACAAGGUCAGCCUGCAGACCUUCCUAAAGGACAAGGCCCUGCCCCGCAACCCCUUACUGGCAUCCCUGCAUAUCCUGAGUUCACUGCUAUGACAACCGCCCGUGCCGCAUUUGUUGUGCACUGAAAGCAACAAUAGGAAUGAAAAUAAUAGCAGCAAGCAGCAAUUCACUGGCCAAGCACCAGACUAGCAAUUAAGUCCUGUGGGCAAAAAAGGAAAUGUGAAAUUUUUAAAAGCUUCAGAGAGUUAAGAGAGUUUAUUGUUGGAGAAUUUACUGUAAAACAUUUAUCCUUAUAGUAAAGGGUUUGUUAAGAAACAGCACCAUCAGGACAAAGUUUGCCACAAUUUUGUGUGGAUUAUUUUGGAGACUAGAUCUUUCUCUUUUGUUGUAUUUGGUGUAUUUUCAUAAAUUUGUUAGGGAUUGGUUUUGUUUUUUUAAAUUAAUAUUAAUAACAAAAUCAGGAUCAAGAAACAAAUUAGUGCUGCAAAUUGUUCUGUAUAGCUGUUGUGAAAUUCCUUGUUCUACUGAACUGUACUUACUCUGUACAUUUAUAUUGUAAUGUUCAUACAUUUAUAUGAAUAUAUAUGAAGAAAUCAUUAUAAAAUAAUAUCUACAUUCUACAACA